rnacentral:tRNA from 1 species
GGGGUUGUGGCUCAGUGGUAGAGCCCUUGCCUAGCGUGCAUGAGGUACUGGGUUCAAUCCUCAGAACCACA